rnacentral:rRNA from 1 species
UGGGGGAAUUUUGGACAAUGGGCGAAAGCCUGAUCCAGCAAUGCCGCGUGUGUGAAGAAGGCCUUCGGGUUGUAAAGCACUUUUGUCCGGAAAGAAAUGGCUCUGGUUAAUACCUGGGGUCGAUGACGGUACCGGAAGAAUAAGGACCGGCUGACUACGUGCCAGCAGCCGCGGUAAUACGUAGGGUCCAAGCGUUAAUCGGAAUUACUGGGCGUAAAGCGUGCGCAGGCGGUUGUGCAAGACCGAUGUGAAAUCCCCGAGNUUAACUUGGGAAUUGCAUUGGUGACCUGCACGGCUAGAGUGUGUCAGAGGGGGGUAGAAUUCCACGUGUAGCAGUGAAAUGCGUAGAGAUGUGGAGGGAAUACCGAUGGCGAAGGCAGCCCCCUGGGAUAACACUGACGCUCCAUGGCACGAAAGCGUGGGGAGCAAACAGGAUUAGAUACCCUGGUAGUCCACGCCCUAAACGACGUGCAACUAGUUGUUGGGGGAUUCAUUU